GACAGAGGCCUCGAGCGUUAGGCGGAAUCACUGGGCUUAAAGCGUGUGUAGGCGGGCCCGUAAGUGUCUUGUGAAAUCCCACGGCUCAACCGUGGAACUGCUGGGCAUACUGCGGGUCUUGGGCCAACUAGGGGCAGCUGGAACAAGCGGUGGAGCGGUGAAAUGCGUAGAUAUCGCUUGGAACGCCAAAGGUGAAAACAGGUUGCUGGGAAUGUGCCGACGCUGAGACACGAAAGCCAGGGGAGCAAACGGG
rnacentral:rRNA from 1 species